rnacentral:rRNA from 1 species
AACAUUGUUUCUAGUGUUUGGAUUGGAGAUAUUGUCUGCCCACUGAGGAUUUGAAGGGCUGCGGUAUUACUGACCGUACAAAGGUAGCAUAAUAAAUAGUUCUUUGAUUGGGAGCUGGAAUGAAGGGCUUUAUGAAAAAUCAGUUGUCUUAAUUAUAAGAUUAGAAUUUAAUGUUUGGGUAAGAAAGCCUAAGUAGUUUAGUGGGACGAGAAGACCCUAUAGAAUUUUAUUUUAUUAUUUGGGUUAGUAAAUUUAUGAUAUGUAGUAUAUUAUAAAAUUUGAUUGGGGUGAUUGGAAAAUAUUUAGCUUUUUUUAUUGUUUAAUUAUUAAUGAGUAUGAGUUUGAUCCAUGUAUUGAGUGAUUGUAAGAUAAAUUACCUUAGGGAUAACAGCGUUAUUUAUUCGGAUAGUUCAAAUAGAUGAAUGAGAUUGCGACCUC